ensembl:lncRNA
GGCUGCGGGAGGCCGACGCGAGAGCCCUGGGGCAGAGGCGCGCAGAGAGGGGAAGACGGAGACGCGGCAGGACGGCCCGCAGACGCAGGAACACAGGCGCGCUCCGAGAUCCAGUCCUCAGAUGCGAGCGCGGGUGCGCCCCCCGCCCUCCCGCCCGGAGUCGCGCCCAGGGUUGCGACGCAGCUACACAGGGGCGCCCGGGAAAGCAGCAGGGCCGUGUUACACAACCACCUCAGACACGCACGUGGGUUCGCACACACAGGCGAGACUCCCAGGACCCAGACACAGCUCAGAGUCACGCACAGAGGUGAUGCUGAGACACCAGGCGCUCACACCCGGGAGCCUGGCCCUCAGGAGACACACAGGAGAUCCUGAUGAGGAACACACUGAUAAGCCACCACCACCAAGAAGAGUUCAGGAAAGGUCAAAAGGAGAUGCCGCGUGUCCGUCCGCUUCCCCGAAUCCCUCUCACUAGCAUCCAUCUUGGCUGAGCGAUGAUGGAAACACUCUGAAUUAGAAUGAUUGGCCAAAGACCACCCGGAAACUAAUCCCAUCACCAUAAAACCCGAGACUGUGAGCCACGCAGCAGAGCAGUUCUCCUGGGUUCCCUCGCCCUCCUGCUCUCCACCUGGGCGCCCUUUCCAAGAAAAUCUCUUGCUUGGUCAGCACAUGCGUCUCCUCGGACAAUUCAUCUCCGAGUGUUAGACAUGAGCCCAGUUUCGGGCCCUGGAGGGCUCCGCCUUCCUGCAGCAGUCUCGCACAAAUGGCUUCUUCAGAUGCUCCUGCCGGGAGGCUGAGUGGUGCCGUGGCCGGGGCUGGGCCUGGCCCUGGGGAGGCCUGGGUUUGGUGCACGUCAGCUGCGUCUACUGUGAGAGCUUUCAAAAGCCACCCUCCCUCUCCGAGCCUCUCUCCUCCUCUGUGAAAUGAACGCUCUUCAAACGAGGUGGCAGGAGCCAGCUGCUUUCAUGAGGUCCCGGCGCUGGGCUAAAAGCUUCCGAAAAGCAGGGGGUUGGGGACUUGCAUGUCAAGAUGUGUCCCUUACUUCUUGUGUUGCUCUUUGGGGCGUCCCUGGGGGCUCAGAUGGUAAAGAAUCCACCUGCAAUGCAGGAGACCCAGGUGUGAUCCCUGGGUCGGGAAGACGCCCUGAAGAAAGGAAUGGCCACCCCCUGCAGCAUUCUUGUCUGAAUUCCAUGACAGAGGAGCCUGGCGAGCUACAGUCCAUGGGGUCACAAAGAGCCGUACACGACUGAGGCACUAACUCGUUCACUUUCACUUGGCAUUUAAGACACUCCAAGCUCUGAGCCCUCAGGGAAGGAGCCACAGCUGCCAGUGGUCCACGGUCUUUAUGGGAGGAGGCCAGAGGAGGCUUCCUCCCAAACCACAGAGGAUCUGUGAGGCCCUGCAUCUGGCCAGGGUCACCUUUGGGGAAGCGGCUCUCCCUGUGGUCACCAGGUGGUCUGCGGGCUGGGACCCAGGGAGGAGGUUCCCUUCUGCGGCUGCUGCUUCCUCGGGGACCCACAGGAAGGACAUAAUAUACCUGGUUCUGUAACCAGAUGGGGUAAGGGAGCCCUGGGGAAAGAACAUCAGGCCUGGCUUUCUUGCCAUAAGAGAAGCCAUUUUGGCCCCAGCCCUUCUGUGAUCUAAGCCUGCCCACGAUGCUUGCCCUAGACCAGGUCUCAGUAAAGUGAUCUUAAGGGAACAAAAGAAUAAGGGAUUGUUAUCAGGCAAGAGCAGUACCACUAGCAAAGAUAAUACAUCGGUUGUAAAUGUCAACUUCUGUGUCAGCGGUGACGAUUAGCCCGAAAUGCUCAACCAGCAGGCCAACUGGAACCUGAUGUCAACCUUUCCCAACUCCUGUGAGUUCAGUCAACUAAAGCUUGGACUCUGUUGACUGUCCAAGCCCCUUCAUGAAUAUGCGUGAACCCUUAGCUUAAAACUUCCCUAGUGUUGCUGUUUGGGGAGAUGCUGCUUUGGGGGAUAUAGAUCCCUGGUUCUCUUUUCUCUGCAAGAAAUGAAUCUUUCCUAAUCCUGAUGUUUUGAUCUGACAGUCCCCAAGAGGCAAACCCAGUUGCCCAGACUGCUUUCCUCUAGAGCAUUGCCAAACUUCUCAGUUCCCCUGGUUUCACUGCAUCUUUGCAAUAAAAGGGAUUUUCUCAAACCCCGUGACAAGAUGAUGGCUGUCUAGACAGAUCAGGUGGAGUUUCAGCAGUCAGCCUGGUAGCUUCCCGGGCAGGGAGGAGGCGGGUGUCAGUGGCACACUGUCCUGGCACCCAGCCGUCAGGGCGGCGUGGGCGAUGAGGCGGGAGCGUUGUUAGCCUUGCACAGACAGCCCGCCCCCUGCACGGGGGGUCUCCCACUCUGGCCACGUUGGAAAUACACCAGCUGUGGCAGUCCUGAGGGGCUGGUGCCCAAAUCUUGCAGGAUCUCAGUUUCCGAAUCCAGGGAUCUAACCUGGGCCCUCUGCUGUGAAAGUGGCGUCCAAACCACUGAAUUCCCAGGGAAUUAAUCACCUUGGAAAUGGGAUUCAGUCUUCCACCCAGUAGGUGUUUGAGACAAAC